ACGGGAGUAGCAAUACAACGUGGUGGCGACCGGCGCGACGGGUGAGUAACGCGUAUGCAACCUACCUAUCGAGGAGGGGAACGUAACCCGGCGAAAGUCGGACUAAUACCGCAUAAAACAGGGGCACCGCAUGGUGAUAUUUGUUAAAGAAAUUCGCUGAUGGAUGGGCAUGCGUUCCAUUAGGUAGUUGGUGAGGUAACGGCUCACCAAGCCGACGAUGGAUAGGGAACUGAGAGGUUGGUCCCCCACACUGGUACUGAGACACGGACCAGACUCCUACGGGAGGCAGCAGUGAGGAAUAUUGGUCAAUGGGCGGGAGCCUGAACCAGCCAAGUCGCGUGAAGGAAGAAGGAUCUAUGGUUCGUAAACUUCUUUUGCAGGGGAAUAAAGUGCAGGACGUGUCCUGUUUUGUAUGUACCCUGAGAAUAAGGAUCGGCUAACUCCGUGCCAGCCGCCGC
rnacentral:rRNA from 1 species